rnacentral:lncRNA from 1 species
GCCUUUCCUGUCAAGAGGUGAAGUCUAUUUCUCCUCCCCUCGAAUCCAACUGGCCCAGUGAGAGAAUGCAGUGGGAGUACCAGAGAGCCAGUUCCCAGCCUGGACCUCAAGAAGCUUCACGUGCUUCCACUUGCACCACUGGAACCCUGCCCACCCUUUGUGUGAACAAGCCUGGUCUAGCCUGCUGGAGGGUGAAAGACCACAUGACGUGUGGAAGAGCCAGGCCAGCUGGGGCCACUUAGGCCAGCCAGCCCCUAGCCAACCCAGUAACUAACCACAGCUGCACGAAUGAGCUCAGCCAAGACCAGAUGGAUUGCCCAGUCCAGCCCAGUCCAGUUCAAAUUGCUGAUUCACAGACCUGCCAACUUUGCCAAGGCGCCCACCAUCUCUGCUGCCAGUGCCCUCUUGAGGAAGGUCCCCACCGUGCCUAGCACCGAAUCCACUUGGGAGUCUCCUCUACCCAGCACCAGAGCGGCUCUGGACGAGUGAGGGAAGGAAGGCGAGCCGCUCUGUUUCUGCUCGAGACUUCAGUGACCACAGCGCUCCAGGGCUUGGGUCUACGCUUUCGGAUUUUAUGGUUUAUGGACAAAGCCUUAGGCUGGUGGGAGAGUAGAGAACUCGCCUCCUCUCUCUGCUAUCUUUCUUCCCCUUCUUUUUCCAAGUGCUCAUGCGAAAUAACACCCCUUCCUGUACUUGUAAGAUCCAAACUUAAGUUCCUUCCACAUCCCUUCCAUGCAUUUAGUCCCCUCCCUUCACCUACACGACGCCUUGGUCAAUUCGUCAUGCUCGACAGGGCUUGGCUUUGAAAAAUACGAAUUUUAAUAAAAUAAUGUACAUCCUUCAAAAGGGAAUAUGUUGUCUUCAGCAUCCUUUAAUGAUCUGGUUGUAGCUGAAGGACGCCUAUCAGAUGUAAGCAGGGGAACUCAGAGAUAGUGCUGUCUGAAGUGACUGAUGUUUGGUGGCCCCCUCUGAAUCAGGAAGAACAGUCGUC